rnacentral:rRNA from 1 species
GAAUAUUGGACAAUGGGCGGAAGCCUGAUCCAGCCAUCCCGCGUGCCGGAUGAAGGCCCUAUGGGUUGUAAUCGGCUUUAGCCUGGGAAGAAAGGUGCGGCAUUAGCUGCAUUUGACGGUACCAGGACAAUAAGCACCGGCUAACUCCGUUCCAGCAGCCGCGGUAAUACGGAGGGUGCGAGCGUUAUCCGGAAUCACUGGGUUUAAAGGGUGCGUAGGCGGCCAAGUAAGUCAGGGGUGAAAUACUACGGCUCAACCGUAGAAUGGCCUUUGAUACUGCGUGGCUUGAAUGGAGUUGAGGUCGGCGGAAUGUGGCAUGUAGCGGUGAAAUGCAUAGAUAUGCCAUAGAACACCAAUUGCGAAGGCAGCCGGCUAGACUUCAAUUGACGCUGAGGCACGAAAGCGUGGGGAGCGAACAGG